rnacentral:rRNA from 1 species
UACAGAGGGUGCGAACGUUGUUCGGAUUUACUGGGCGUAAAGCGCGUGUAGGCGGUCGUGCAAGUCGGGUGUGAAAGCCCCAGGCUCAACCUGGGAAGUGCAUUCGAUACUGCGAGACUCGAGUCCCGGAGAGGAUGGUAGAAUUCUCGGUGUAGAGGUGAAAUUCGUAGAUAUCGGGAAGAAUACCGGUGGCGAAGGCGGCCAUCUGGACGGUGACUGACGCUGAGACGCGAAAGCGUGGGGAGCAAACAGG